rnacentral:rRNA from 1 species
UACGUAGGGCGCAAGCGUUAUCCGGAAUUAUUGGGCGUAAAGAGCUCGUAGGCGGUCUGUUGCGUCCGCUGUGAAAACUCGGGGCUUAACCCCGAGCCUGCAGUGGAUACGGGCAGACUAGAGGUAGGUAGGGGAGAAUGGAAUUCCCGGUGUAGCGGUGAAAUGCGCAGAUAUCGGGAGGAACACCGGUGGCGAAGGCGGUUCUCUGGGCCUUACCUGACGCUGAGACGCGAAAGCGUGGGGAGCGAACAGG